AUAAUCGCAUUGGUUUCGGCCGGCGAUGGGUCAUUUAAAUUUAUGCCAUAUCAGCUCUGAUGAUAGUGUAGUGGACUAACAUGGCCUAAACGGGUGACGGAGGAUUAGGGUCUGAUUCCGGAGAGGGAGCCUGAGAAAUGGCUACCACUUGCACGGAAGGCAGCAGGCGCGUAAAUUGCCCAAUCCUGACACGGGGAGGUAGUGACAAUAUAUAGCAAUACCGGAUCUUUUCAGGUCUGGUAAUUGGAAUGAUUACAACUUAAACUCUUUAGCAAGGAUCAUUUGGAGGGCAUGUCUGGUGCCAGCAUCCGCGAGUAGUACCAGCUCCAAUAGCGUAUAUUAAAGUUGUUGCAUGUUAAAAGGCUCGUAGUCGAACUUUUAGUUCUUUUGCAUUGUCCCGUUCGUUAGGGAAUGUUUGUGACGUUGUCUAAGGACUUUCAUGGUGUAAACUUUCUUCUGCCCUUUAUCGCGUUGGUUGAAAGAUCUGCCUCAUUUACUGUGAGAGAACAAGGUGCUCCACGCUCGCUUUAUGGCUUAUAGGGCAGAAACUUGAAUGAUCCGU
rnacentral:rRNA from 1 species